rnacentral:rRNA from 1 species
GAUGAACGCUGGCGGCGUGCCUAAUACAUGCAAGUCGAGCGAACAGACGAGGAGCUUGCUCCUCUGACGUUAGCGGCGGACGGGUGAGUAACACGUGGAUAUCCUACCUAUAAGACUGGGAUAACUUCGGGAAACCGGAGCUAAUACCGGAUAAUAUAUUGAACCGCAUGGUUCAAUAGUGAAAGACGGUUUUGCUGUCACUUAUAGAUGGAUCCGCGCCGCAUUAGCUAGUUGGUAAGGUAACGGCUUACCAAGGCAACGAUGCGUAGCCGACCUGAGAGGGUGAUCGGCCACACUGGAACUGAGACACGGUCCAGACUCCUACGGGAGGCAGCAGUAGGGAAUCUUCCGCAAUGGGCGAAAGCCUGACGGAGCAACGCCGCGUGAGUGAUGAAGGUCUUCGGAUCGUAAAACUCUGUUAUUAGGGAAGAACAAAUGUGUAAGUAACGAUGCACGUCUUGACGGUACCUAAGCAGAAAGCCACGGCUAACUACGU